AUUGAACGCUGGCGGCAGGCCUAACACAUGCAAGUCGAGCGAGCGGCGGACGGGUGAGUAAUGUAUAGGGACUGCCCGAUAGAGGGGGAUAACUACUGGGAACGGUGGCUAAUACCGCAUACUAUCGGAUAACCCAUAUGGGAUGAGCUAGUAGGUGGGGUAAAGGCUCACCUAGGCGACAAUCUCUAGCUGGGCUGAGAGGAUGAUCAGCAAACCUGGGACUUGGACACGGCCCAGACGCCUACGGAGGCAGCAGUGGGGAAUAUUGCACAAUGGGCGUAAGCCAGAUGUAGCCAUUCCGCGUGUAUGAAGAAGGCCUUAGGGUUGUAAAGUACUUUCAGCGGGGAGGCGUUACCCGCAGAAGAAGCACCGGCUAACUACGUGCCAGCAGCCGCGGUAAUUC
rnacentral:rRNA from 1 species